UUCACCAAGGAUCUUUGUACAUCACCACAUGAAUGGUAACAACAAUAUAUCAAUCUGAAACCACGACUACCACAAGGACGGUAGCGCCGAUAUACCAGAACUGAAUCUAGUGAGGUUAAUGCAUCCCAAAAUAGCGAACUCAAAGCAACAAUUUCACAAUAUCAAAAUAAUAGUUUAAACAAACUAAGCACAGUGGAAAAAUAGAAAA
rnacentral:lncRNA from 1 species